GCAAAGGCGAAGAAGAAGAAAUGAGUCUCAGCACGGUGGGCUAUCUCGCCAGGAGGGCGGCGCAGAAGGAGCGAGUCCGGAUCCUGUACCGCCGAGCCCUCAAGGACACCCUCAACUGGGCCGUCCACCGUCACAUCUUCUACGAAGAUGCAUCGAUUCUGAGGGAGAAAUUUGAUGCAAACAAACAUUUGGAGGAUCCUGACACAAUUGAUCAUGUUAUUGCGGAAGCAGAAGCACACUAUGAGAAGUUCCGGCACCCUGAUCCCUACAUUGUUCCCUGGGCUCCUGGUGGCAGCAAAUUUACACGAAAUCCAGCACCGCCCUCGGGGAUUGAGAUAGUUUACGACUAUGGCAAAGAGGACUGAAGCUGAAAACCGCACUUAAAAUAAUGCUGAAUAUGCUCGGGUGCAAAGACAUUGUUACUCCUUUUUCCUAUCCUUUUCAGAUCAAACAAUGUUUCAUCAAAUAAGGUAGAAAUGUUGUUUAUGUCCUGAUCGAUGUAAGACUUGUAUCAAAUUCUUAAGUUGUAAGCUGAUGGCAAGAGGUACGGUGGAGACCCGCCCCUUACAUCUCUUUUUCAUUGUGAACUGAAGAUGGUGUAUCUAUAUUUGAAAGUUACGAAUUGCAUGCUAUUGGUUGAAGA
rnacentral:misc_RNA from 1 species